GACGAACGCUGGCGGCGUGCUUAACACAUGCAAGUCGAACGGAAAGGCCCUGCUUUUGUGGGGUGCUCGAGUGGCGAACGGGUGAGUAACACGUGAGUAACCUGCCCUUGACUUUGGGAUAACUUCAGGAAACUGGGGCUAAUACCGGAUAGGAGCUCCUGCUGCAUGGUGGGGGUUGGAAAGUUUCGGCGGUUGGGGAUGGGCUCGCGGCUUAUCAGCUUGUUGGUGGGGUAGUGGCUUACCAAGGCUUUGACGGGUAGCCGGCCUGAGAGGGUGACCGGCCACAUUGGGACUGAGAUACGGCCCAGACUCCUACGGGAGGCAGCAGUGGGGAAUAUUGCACAAUGGGCGGAAGCCUGAUGCAGUAACGCCGCGUGCGGGAUGACGGCCUUCGGGUUGUAAACCGCUUUCGCCUGUGACGAAGCGUGAGUGACGGUAAUGUGUAAAGAAGCACCGGCUAACUACGUG
rnacentral:rRNA from 1 species